rnacentral:lncRNA from 1 species
UGAUUGUGAUCUUGAACCAAAUUUUAUGAUGAAUUAUGACAUUUUUGAUGGAUUAGUUAGUUGAUUGUGAUCUUGAGGAUAUAGUUAAAGAUGUUUGAUGUAUUAAUUAAUCUUCAACAAUUUGGAUUUAGUUAGGUGAUUGUGAUAUUGAACCAAAUUUCUCUGUGAUUUAUGAGAUUUUAGUUGGAUUUAGUUAGGUGGUUGUGUCUUGGGAAGAUGGUCAAAGAUGUUAGGUGGAUUAUGAGAUUUUGGGUCUAAUAGAUGAGCAUGGUGAUUAUUACAUUGGUGGAUAUAUGAAUUUUUAAUAAAUUUGGAAUAAUUUGGAUUUAGUUAGGCGACUGUGCUCUUGAACCAACCUUUAUGGUUGAUUAUGAGAUUUUGUUCGGCUGCGCCAUGCCUCUUCGUCGAGGAGCAUGCGCAGUGCAGUGGUGCGGCAGCUCGUGUGGCGUGCAGUGGCUUUAGAAGGCGGGGCGCCGACACCUGCAGCUUGUGCACCAUGGCGACUCCACGCAUCUUCUGCGCCCUGCAACCCUCUCCUUGCGGGGCAAAACAGGUGAUUCAGGUUUGCCUCCUCCUCCUCUCUCCCCCCCCCCUCCCCCUCCCUUUUUUGUUUCAUUCUGCAGCUUCAUUCAAGCAUAUAUUUUAAAUUGGUACAUAUUCCAGGUAGUUAGCUUAUUAUGGACUAUAACUACAUUUGAUGUUAGAACUCUGAUACUAAUUUAUGUUCUUGUUGCAUAGGUGAAUGGUGCUUUAGCUUCAAUGACCAAUUUUAUUAAAAAAGGGCAGCCCCAGUGCAUGUAGCUCCCGCUUGCGCAGGGUCUGGGGAAGGGUCCGACCACUUUGGGUCUAUUG